UACGUAGGGUGCGAGCGUUACUCGGAAUUACUGGGCGUAAAGCGUGCGCAGGCGGUUUGUUAAGACAGAUGUGAAAUCCCCGGGCUUAACCUGGGAACUGCAUUUGUGACUGGCAAGCUAGAGUAUGGCAGAGGGGGGUAGAAUUCCACGUGUAGCAGUGAAAUGCGUAGAGAUGUGGAGGAAUACCGAUGGCGAAGGCAGCCCCCUGGGCCAAUACUGACGCUCAUGCACGAAAGCGUGGGGAGCAAACAGG
rnacentral:rRNA from 1 species